rnacentral:rRNA from 1 species
UACGGAGGGUGCAAGCGUUGCUCGGAAUCACUGGGCGUAAAGGGCGUGUAGGCGGUCUCGUAUGUCUGACGUGAAAGCCCCGGGCUCAACCCUUGAAAGCCGGCCGAUACUGUCGGACUAGAGUCCGGAAGAGGCGAGUGGAAUUCCCGGUGUAGCGGUGAAAUGCGCAGAUAUCGGGAGGAACACCAAUGGCGAAGGCAGCUCGCUGGGACGGUACUGACGCUGAGGCGCGAAAGCGUGGGGAGCAAACAGG